AUUGAACGCUGGCGGCAGGCCUAACACAUGCAAGUCGAACGAGUGGCGGACGGGUUAGUAAUGUCUGGGAAACUGCCUGCUGGAGGGGGAUAACUACUGGAACCGGUAGCUACUACCGCAUACCAUCAGAUGUGCCCAGGUGGGAUUAGCUUGUUGGUGGGGUAACGGCUCACCAAGGCGACGAUCCCUAGCUGGUCUGAGAGGAUGAUCAGCCACACUGGAACUGAGACACGGUCCAGACUCCGACGGGAGGCAGCAGUGGGGAAUAUUGGACAAUGGGCGAAAGCCUGAUGCAGCCAUGCCGCGUGUAUGAAGAAGGCCUUCGGGUUGUAAAGAACUUUAAGCUGGGAGGCGUUACCAGCAGAAGAAGCACCGGCUAACUCCGUGCCAGCAGCCGCGGUAAUAC
rnacentral:rRNA from 1 species